rnacentral:lncRNA from 13 species
CCAAGAAGGAACUAUGAAGAGCUGUUCUGUGAUGGUAUCUAACAGAGGAGAAUACCUUCCUUUUCCUUUCUAAAUGGAGGACAGGAUUUGCAGAAGCUCUGAGUCUCUACUGGGAAAGAGAAAAAGAUCUGCAUGUUUCAUGGAUGCUGAAGCCGGAUUCUAAGAGGAAUGACAAAGUCAUUGCUAAUUGCAGCCAAUUACUCUAUCGGAUGGUACUGGUAGAGAAAAUGACUUCAAGUCUAGAGUUGCCUUGGAAAGAAUUACCAUACUGUGUCUGAAGCCUGAGGCUUCCCUGGUUCCUGAUCUCAGGGCAGGGCAGGCUGCUGUCUCUGCAGCCUCCUAGCUUCACAGCAGCCUGAUCUCCAAAGCCUGGGGCACACCCCCAAAUCCUUGGCU